GCCACGCCUCAAAAUAGUUAGAGCUCUAUUCAGACAACGGCUGCUCGAAUCAGCUCUCCCAUAGAUCCGUCAUCUCGUCAGCCGAUGAGCGAGCGUAGCCUGCCUCGGUUUGUUAACCAUUUCUUUUCCCUCAGCCCCAGUUUUCACUAAACCUCGCGCUUACUGCUGCAUCUGACACAAUGGUACAAGGUCAAGUUCUGUUUCCAUCACAUCACCUGGUUUGCCCAAGAGCUUAGCCGGAGGAAGGGACAGGUGGGUUGGCAUCUUUGGGAAAACAAGUUUGCUUAAUAACGGGUGAGCUUGAAGGGGCAAAGUCCGUCAGACGGAGGAGUUUUCCGAAGCUAUGGGUUGCAAGAGUCAACAUCACCCUCGUAAGAACCACGCCAGGUAGCAGCUUACACUCGGAAAGAAUCCGUGCUCCCCUUUCUUAUCCAGAGGACUGAAGGAAUAAAUUAGUCCGGAAAUAUUUCUGCUCCA
rnacentral:lncRNA from 1 species